rnacentral:rRNA from 1 species
GCCUACGGGGGGCAGCAGUGGGGAAUAUUGCACAAUGGGGGAAACCCUGAUGCAGCAACGCCGCGUGAGUGAAGAAGUAUUUCGGUAUGUAAAGCUCUAUCAGCAGGGAAGAAGAUGACGGUACCUGACCAAGAAGCCCCGGCUAACUACGUGCCAGCAGCCGCGGUAAUACGUAGGGGGCAAGCGUUAUCCGGAUUUACUGGGUGUAAAGGGAGCGUAAACGGCAUGGCAAGUCUGAAGUGAAAGCCCGGGGCUCAACCGCGGGACUGCUUUGGAAACUGUUAAGCUGGAGUGCAGGAGAGGUA